AUACGUAGGUGACAAGCGUUAUCCGGAUUUACUGGGCGUAAAGGGCGUGUAGGCGGUCUUGCAAGUCAGAAGUGAAAUUCCUGAGCUCAACUCGGGCGCUGCUUCUGAAACUGCAGGACUUGAGUGCUGGAGGGGAUAGCGGAAUUCCUAGUGGAGCGGUAAAAUGCGCAGAUAUUAGGAAGAACACCGGUGGCGAAGGCGGCUAUCUGGACAGGAACUGACGCUGAGGCGCGAAAGCGUGGGGAGCAAACAGGAUGAGAUACCCUGGUAGGCCACGCCGUAAACGAUGAAUACUAGGUGUAGGGGGUAUCGACUCCCUCUGUGCCGCAGUUAACACAAUAAGUAUUCCGCCUGGGGAGUACGGCCGCAAGGUUGAAACUCAAAUGAAUUGGCGGGG
rnacentral:rRNA from 1 species